ACUUAACUGAACCUUCGGGGAACGUUAAGGGCGGCGAGCGGCGGACGGGUGAGUAAUGCCUGGGAAUAUGCCCUGAUGUGGGGGAUAACUAUUGGAAACGAUAGCUAAUACCGCAUAAUCUCUUCGGAGCAAAGAGGGGGACCUUCGGGCCUCUCGCGUCAGGAUUAGCCCAGGUGGGAUUAGCUUGUUGGUGAGGUAAUGGCUCACCAAGGCAACGAUCCCUAGCUGGUCUGAGAGGAUGAUCAGCCACACUGGAACUGAGACACGGUCCAGACUCCUACGGGAGGCAGCAGUGGGGAAUAUUGCACAAUGGGGGAAACCCUGAUGCAGCCAUGCCGCGUGUGUGAAGAAGGCCUUCGGGUUGUAAAGCACUUUCAGUAGGGAGGAAGAUAGUGUAGUUAACACCUGCACUAUUUGACGUUACCUACAGAAGAAGCACCGGCUAACUCCGUGCCAGCAGCCGCGGUAAUACGGAGGGUGCGAGCGUUAAUCGGAAUUACUGGGCGUAAAGCGCAUGCAGGCGGCUUGUUAAGUCAGAUGUGAAAGCCCGGGGCUUAACCUCGGAAUUGCAUUUGAAACUGGCAGGCUAGAGUCUUGUAGAGGGGGGUAGAAUUUCAGGUGUAGCGGUGAAAUGCGUAGAGAUCUGAAGGAAUACCAGUGGCGAAGGCGGCCCCCUGGACAAAGACUGACGCUCAGAUGCGAAAGCGCGGGGAGCAAACAGGAUUA
rnacentral:rRNA from 1 species